rnacentral:misc_RNA from 1 species
GUUCCUGCCAAAAAGUCGCAUCCUUGGAGUUUUUUCGACCCGUAGUCAAUCCAAGAUUUUUUUCCUGUUAUUUUUUGCGCACUGCUUUUGGUUAGAAAGUUCAAGAUUUGUUCCUUCCUUCCUUGCUAUCAGCAUGUGUAGGUUGUUCAGUUUGGCUCAUGGGUCCCGAAUCGAACUCUUGUUUCAAGGCAGGGAGCUAGAGGAGGAGGAGGGGAGCUGGCUAGCCAGGCGAAGGCGGCGCCGCGCGCGUGGCCGUGCUGUGACAGCUGCGACGGCUGCACCAGGUCAGAGCCACCGCGGUGCCAGUGCCUGGACGCGGCGCCCCGCGGGUGCCACCCGGCCUGCGUCAAAUCCAGCCUCAUCGCCGACCCACCGGUGUACCAGUGCAUGGACCGCUUCCCCAGCUUCUGCCAGCGCUGCUGCACCGCCACCGCCGCCGCGCACAAACUGACCGCACGGGGCCAUCGAGCCAGCCGACGACUGGUUUCUAAUUGCAGCUUGGUAUUAUUGACCCAGCAACCUUUUUGCUCACCCACCCUCCCACUCGCCCGCCGGCGAAUCAUGGCGUCUCGAGUCUUUAAACUUUGAAGCCAACCAUGGAUUUGGAUUUUUGUUUAUGUGUAUUUGUGUAGACUGUAACUGUAAAUAGAGAUGAGGAAUCUGUAAUCUGGUGAGCGAGCAACCAAUCCGAGCUUAGGUUGUUCGUCUGUGGUGUGGUGUCCUUCUUCUUCUGUUCUGUUUUCUUUCUUUCAGUUACACACUUUGGUAGGUAGUUGGCAUUACUUUGCUCUGUAUGGCUGACUCUUCUUAUGUGAGAGAGAUGAGCACGGUGGAUCA